UGAUAUGUUCUAUUACCUCCUCUUCCUUCUUUGGUUUGUCACUGCACUACUAGCACACUUCUUCAUCAAAACAUUCUUAAGAUCCCGUAGUCAAAACAACCUCCCACCGAGCCCGCCAGCUCUACCUAUCAUUGGCCACCUCCACCUAAUUGGGUCGGUCCUUGCAAAAUCUUUCCAAACCCUUGCCGUUCGCUAUGGUCCACUCAUGCAGAUCCGUCUAGGGGCAUCAACAUGUGUUGUUGCUUCUAAUGCUGUGGUGGCCAAAGAAAUAUUUAAGACCCAAGAUAUCAAUUUUUCCUCUAGACCUGAAUUUGGCUCCUCCGAAUACUUCAUUUAUAGAGGAUCAAGAUUCGUCACUGCCCAAUAUGGUGAUUAUUGGAGGUUCAUGAAAAAACUAUGCAUGACAAGGCUCCUUUCUGUCCCUCAACUUGAGAAAUUCACCGACAUCCUUGAUGAAGAGAAGGUCAAGCUUGUCGAAUCGGUGAUGGGGUGUGCUAGGGAAGGGAAAUUGUGUGAUUUGAGUGGUGAGUUUACAGCCUUGACAAACAAUACUAUUUGUCGGAUGACAAUGAGCACUCGAUGCUCAGGCAGUAAUAAUGAUGCUGAUAAGAUUGAGCGGUUGGUUAAGACAUGUUUACAGCUUGCAGGGAAGUUAAGUUUAGGGGAUAUUUUGGGUCCUUUCAAGAUUUUUGACUUCUCUGGGAAUGGGAAAAAGCUAGUUGGUGCACUACAAGCCUAUGAUAGGUUAGUGGAGAGGAUAUUCAAGGAGCAUGAAGAGAAGGCAGAUAAAGGUUUCAAGGAAGGGGAGAGGAAGGAUUUGAUGGACAUAUUGUUGGAGAUAUAUAAUGAUCCAACUGCUGAAAUUAAAUUAUCUAAAAAUGACAUCAAGUCCUUUUUGCUUGUAAGUUCCUUCUCUUUACCUUCUACAAAUUAAUACAUGUGGAUCUCUUGCAUAUUUCUUCAAUUAUUGGCAUCGCUAACAUCUAUAAUAUGUGUUUAAUUAGGACUUAUUCUUUGCCGGGACAGACACAUCAGCAACAGCCAUGCAAUGGGCCAUGGGAGAGCUCAUCAACAAUCCCAAGGCAUUCAAGAGGCUUAGAGAUGAGAUCAACACAGUUGUUGGGCCUAAUAGACUUGUUAAGGAAUCAGAUGUCCCAAACCUCCCUUACCUUAAAGCAGUCAUGAGAGAAACACUAAGACUUCACCCUUCAGCACCUUUAAUCAUCAGAGAAUGCGCUGAAGAUUGCAAGGUCAACGGCUCUGUCGUUAAGGCCAAGACAAGAGUUCUUGUCAAUGUCUAUGCAGUCAUGAGGGACCCGGAAUCAUGGGCUAAUCCCGACGAAUUCAUGCCUGAAAGGUUUUUGGAGAGCUCCGAGGAGAAAAUUGGCGAGCAUCAGAUGGAAUUCAAGGGUCAAAAUUUCCGGUUCCUUCCAUUUGGGAGUGGAAGAAGAGGAUGCCCUGGUGCAUCCCUUGCUAUGAUGAUCAUGCAUGCUGCAGUAGGGGCCUUGGUUCAGUGCUUUGAUUGGAAAAUCAAGGAUGGGAAGGAGGUGGAUUUAACCUUAGGACCUGGCUUUGCAGCAGAAAUGGCUCAUCCACUCGUGUGCUACCCUAUUAAGCACAUGAACGCAUAUUAGGAGAGCCACCAUGGAACUCUCAUCGAUCGAUCAUUUACUUCUUUGUUUAGUAAGGUGUGCCUAUAUAUGUACUUUGAAAGUCCUUAGGUUUGGUUGUUUUAGGAACAUGCAAGUACGUACUUCCCUCUAUCAGUACCUGGGACAAAGUUAUGAUUUGAAAUAUAAAUUGAAAUAAAUUAAUGUAUGUGUAUUUUACCUUGUGCACACCUUAAUUUGUCUUAUAUCUUUGUUGUUGUAAAAUUUAAUGAUAUUGAAACUCUAACUACCAAUACUUAAUCAAUUAGAUUGAGAUAGAUAUAAGAAAAAUAAUUAUAUAUAAUUCCACAGAAAAUGAUAAAAUUAAUAUUUUCACAUAUUAAAUUUUUUUAUUUUUAUUCUCUCCUGUUUUUCUUUCUUGUUUCUCAUGUUUAUAUCCAUAAUGCUUGGUAGAAUUCCAAAUCAAUAUAUAAUUACUGCAAAGUAUUUUUUUUCAACAAAUUCGGAAACAUAAUGAGGAAAAAUAACUCAAUUUUAUGAAUUAUUUUAAAUAAAAUAAAUAGUAAUAAAAAGGAACUGAAUUUGAAGAAAAACUAAAUUGAAAGGAUUUUUUAAAAAUUUACAGGAGAGAGAAAGCAAGAAAAAAAAAUAUUAUAUAUACUAAGACAGCAUAAUUGAUAAUUUAAAUUUCUGAAUUACGUUGACCUGAUCUCAUUGUUAAAAAUAUUGUAUUAAGAACUCCUUUUUGCAAGCAAAAUUAUUGGUACUUUAUCAGCAGUUUAAUUAUCAACCCAUGCUAUAUGGCUUUGGCAAAGUAAGGGUCAAGCAAAUCCAUAAGGCCUAGCUACAGGGCAUCAAACACUGCGAGUCAAUGGCGUUGAUGUAAAGUCAAAGCUAGCUACAAGCCUAGCUUGUAGCUAGCUAGUCAACGCCUAUUCGAAUCUCGAUGACGAUGAGGGACAUAACACGUGGAUUUUUGAGUUUUUUAAGAUAUGUUUAUAUCUUGUUUAUUUUUACAUUUUAAAAAUAUAUUUUUUAAAAGUUUAUUAUUAUUUUUAUUUCAAAUUAAUUUUAUUUAGUGUUUUCAGAUCGUUUUGAUGUACUGAUAUCAAAAAUAUUUUUUUAGAACAAAAAAAAAAUUAUUUUGAUGUAUUUCCGAACAAAAAAUACUUGAAAAAACAACCGCUAUUAUACUCUUAAAUACCUAAAUUUAAAUUUCUAAUGUAAUCAUGGGGGGAUCUUGAUGAUCAACAUGAAAUAAUGAAAAUGCAUCAAACUAUUAUCACAUUGCUUUAUACAAGGGCAUUGAUCUAUCAGAUAUAUAUGCUAGCUAGAAACACUUUAUAUUUGGUUGAUCAAAGCUCGAUUGCAUGUAAAGUAAAUGAUGGGCAAUCUACCGGGAAAACAAAAUGUAAUGAUAUUGGCAAAUAUAUAGUUGUAAGUGUUUGCUUCUUGAAGUGCGUUAAUGCAUGUGAGCAUGUGCUGCACUUGCAAGUAAUUAGUACUAAUUAAUAUAAUCAUGUAAGUUUAUCAAUAUUAUAAAUAGUAAAAGUUCAAUGGUUUGAAUUGGGGGUUUGUAGACGAAAGAAUUCAUGCAAGCAAUUGUAUAUGUACAAUCUUAAGCACUAGAUUGAAAAUCACAAUAAAAACCUCUUCCAUUUGUGUAAAUGUUAUAAAACUUGCUGCUCAUGGCCACUGAUAUUGAUCAUGGUUUUGCAUAUUAUUGCUACCUUGGCAGCAGUUGGAUCGCCAUUAUCCUUGUGGUGCAACUCUUCAUCAAAACAUGCACCAGCUUUUGCACCAAGACUCGCCACCCACCAAGCCCUCCAGCCCUACCCAUCAUUGGCCAUCUUCACCUUUUAAGCUCAAGGCUACCAAGCUCCCUCAAAACACUUGCUAGCCAAUAUGGCCCCCUCAUGCUAAUACGUUUUGGAUCAACACCUAUUUUUGUUGUGUCCGAUGCCAAAACAGCCAAGGAGAUACUGAAAAUCCAUGAUGUUGAUUUUGCCUCUAAGUAUACACUCGCUUUUGGCCUCUCAAGAUUUGACAUUUAUGAUGGAUAUACUUUUUUCAAUGCCGAGUAUGGCACAUAUUGGCGGUUCAUGAAGAAGCUAUGCAUGACCAAACUAUUCGCUGGCACGCAACUGGAUCGAUUCAUCCAUAUCCGAGAGCAAGAGACGUUGAAGCUUCUAAAAUCACUGGUGGAAAGGUCAAGAGAGGGGAAGCCAUGUGAUUUAGGCGAGGAGCUUUCAGUCUUCUCGAGUAAUAUAAUUUGUAGAAUGGCAAUUGGCAAGAGAUGCAUGGAAAACCCUAAUUUACCUAUAGACAUAAGGGAGGUGGUAGGGGAUAUAAUGAAAAAUGCAGCAAAGUUUAGUUUCAAUGGAGUUUUUGGUCCUUUAAGCAGAUUUGACUUUUUAGGAAAAGGGAAAAGGCUCGUUUCAGCGACUUGGAAGUAUGACCGGCUAAUGGAGCAGCUGAUGAAGAAAUAUGAAGAAAAGGUUGAGUUGAUCAACGGUGGUGACGAAGGGGAGAAAGACGUGAUGGACAUUUUAAUGGAGACGUAUAAAGACACAAAUUCUGAAUUGAAGUUAACAAGGAGGCACAUAAAAAAAUUCUUCCUGGUGAGUUCUUUAAUCUUAAUGGUUUCGCUGAGUGCAGAGUUUUGUUAUUAUUAUUAUUUUUUUUUUUUUGAACUUUCCUAUUUAAAGUUUGAAAAAUUUAAAAAUAUUAUAUUAUUUGUUGAUUAUAUCAAAUUUAACCUUAAACUUUUGAUAUAUAUAUAUAUAUAUAUAUAUAUAUAUAUAUAUAUAUAUAUUGUUUUGAAUAUUUAUUUUUCAAUUUCAUCCCUUAGAAUUUAAUUUUUAUAUUAAUUUUGGUCCUCAUUUUUAUAAUUGUUAUUUGCUUUUCACUUAUUAUUUUUUAAUUGAAAUUUUUUAUCUAUCAAAUUUGGUCCCUAUUCUUUUGAUUGGUACUUAUUUUAUUUGGAAUAAUUUAUGAAAUGUUAAUUAUUAUUAUUUUAAUUUCUUUAUCUUUCAAUUUUUUUAUUUUUUAGAUUUGAUCUCUAUUAUUUUGAUUAUUAUUUAUUUUAUUUGAGAUAAUUUAUGAAAUUAUAUUUUUUUUUCAAUUUCAUUCUCAUUCAACUUUUUAAUUUGUAAGAUUUGUUCCUUAUUAUUUUAAUAAACUUGAAAAAAUAAAACAUUAAUAAAUUAUUUUUCAGCUCAUUUUACAUGACAUAACCAAACACUGAAAAAAAAAUAAAAUAUUAAUAAAUUAUUUUCAGCUCAUUUUCCAUGACAUAACCAAACACUGGAAAAUGUUUUCCAACUUAUUUUUCAUUACACUACCAAACAUUAGAAAAUAAUUUACUUUUUUAAAAUUUAUUUUUUAAAAUUUUUUUUUUCCAACAAACAAACAAAAAAGAAAAGAAUCAUUGCCCAAACUUUCCAGUGACCUCUCUAAUUUUGGAAAUCUACACUGACAAAUAAAGUGCUGUCUAAGUUUGUUUUUUUCUUAAUCGGCCAACCAUUAAGAGAAUAAUCAAGAUUUAAUAAUUGGCCCUCCAGUCAUCGUAGAGGACAGUCCCCGAAGAUUAAUGUCCAUAAUGAGAAAGGCGGACCACAAGAUGUCCUUUUGAUGAGAAAAGCGGACCACAAAAUGUAUCAUGCCACCUUCAGUAAUGUGCAAAGGGCGACGAAUUCCAUUUUAAGAUUUCGCAAUCAGAUUUUGGUAUAACAAAUCCCAUAUUUUUUUUAUCAAAACCCAAGAUAGCGAUCCCAUAUUUAAUUUUCAAGCCAUCCCAACAAAAUAAUAAAAGAUAUUAUUAUUAUUAAAAAAUAAUAAAAGAUAUUAAUUUAAUAUAUUUUAGUGUAUGUAUACACCGGGGAUUUAACAUCUCGCAGCUCAACUGACAUGUAUAUUUUUUUUUUGGCUGGCGAACUACAACAAAAACAAUAAUAUAUAAGAGUCAAGUGCAUGCAAUUUCUCUAUAUAAGCACAUCAUAAACUUUCAUUACUUACAAGUGUAAAACCCAAGAGAAAACCUCAAUCCAAACUAGCUAUAGCUACAACUGAUAUGUUCUAUUACCUCAUCUUCCUUCUUUGGUUUGUCACUGCGCUACUAGCACACUUCUUCAUCAAAAUAUUCUUAAGAUCCCGUAGUCAAAACAACCUCCCACCGAGCCCGCCAGCUCUACCUGUCAUUGGCCACCUACACCUAAUUGGGUCGGUCCUUGCAAAAUCUUUCCAAACCCUUGCCGUUCGUUAUGGUCCACUCAUGCAGAUUCGUCUAGGGGCAUCAACAUGUGUUGUUGCUU
rnacentral:lncRNA from 1 species